AUCGACCGGCUUCGUGAAGGUAGCCACCCGGCGUGGGUGGCAUUGGGAAUCCGCAGCGCAAGCAAAGCGGAGCUGCCCCGCAGCGGUAGUUGGGAACGAGCUUCACCGAGUCACUGGCCUCUGGGCCGGGAAGAGUCGAAGCGAGGAAGUCGUGGCGGCCAUCGUGCCGCUUCGAAGUGCCCAUGAGCCCGAAGACCGACCUCCACCUGCGCGGCGUG
rnacentral:ncRNA from 1 species